GACGAACGCUGGCGGCGUGCUUAACACAUGCAAGUCGAAAGAAGUGGCGAACGGGUGAGUAACGCGUAAUAAACCUGCCCUUCAGAGGGGGACAACAGGUGGCAACGACUGCUCAUACCGCAUACUGAAGGAGGGGAUUGCGUCUGAUUAGCUAGUUGGAGGGGUAACGGCCCACCAAGGCGAUGGUCAGUAGGCGGUCUGAGAGGAUGAACGGCCACAUUGUGACUGAGACACUGCCCAGACUCCUACGGGAGGCAGCAGUGGGGAAUCUUCCGCAAUGGACGAAAGUCUGACGGAGCAACGCCGCGGGAGUGAUGACGGCCUUCGGGUUGUAAAGCUCUGUUAUGCGGGACGCGGUACCGGAAUAGAAAGCCACGGCUAACUACGUGCCAGCAGCCGCGGUAAUUC
rnacentral:rRNA from 1 species